UCUAGAAUUCUUUGCAGCUCAGUCCUCCAACUAGCUUUCUUUCACCAUUAAUUUGCUCAACCAAUUACGGAUCUACCAUUGAUGGCGAGUUCUAGCAGCAAUCUUCUACCAUUACUCCAUUACUAUUCACCUUUCUCUCUAAUUUUUGCUUAUCUUUUGUAUCCUUUUUAGGGAUUUCCUGUUGUCUUUGAUUUGCUUGGUCUUAUCCUCUUUUAAUAUUUGCUUUGGCAUAACAAUAAUCCCAUGGUUAGCAUCUUCCAGAGUUGAAACGAGAGGUGAAUAGACGAGAUGAUGAAAGAAAACCUGCAGAAGUUUCAACUCACAUGUCCUGGUGGCACUAAAGAGGUAGUUGCAGAUGAUGAAAGGAAAGCUGCUAAGAUUUCAUUCCACAUUUCUUGGUUGUUUUAAAAGUAUGUUUUCACUUUUAAUGCAUCACCAUCUACUUAUCUGAAAGCUGUUUAUGCAUUAUAUUUCUCCUUUAUGGUUCAAUUUGGGAGUAGAAAGUAUGAAAAAUAAAAAGUUGAAAGAUCUUCAAGAAAUGCAAAUAAUCAUAGUGUAUCAUUAGAACUUGAAACUACCAGAGUGACAAACACACAAUUAGAAAUUGAGAAGGUAAUUAACACUAAAAGUAUAUUGAAGUUAAUGUAUUGUAUGCUACAAGAGACUUCAUUUUACAAAAGGUAAUAUGUGUUGCAUCAGACUUCUUACAGGGUACAACUGAAGAGAAAGAGUAAGAGACUUCUUCCAAGUGCUUGUUUCUAUGCCCUUUCUAACAGAUACAACCUUAAUCUCUUAAUUACAUUGCAUAUACAAUGUUAACAGAAGGGAUAUACAUAACGGGGUCACUUAAAAGUUGCACCCUUCUUUGAGGAAAUGCUUGAAUGAUAUCUCUCAAUGUUGUUUCAUACUCAGUACUUCUAAAUGCAAUUUGUAAACCUGGUAUGAUUGUGAGAGCUGUUUCUAUUACAUACUUUUCGAACUCUAACCGUAAAAGGAAAAGUUAGGACUAUUCUUCCCCUUUUCUUCCCUUCUUUUACAUCUUAUGGCCUACAUCUGAAUAGAAAUCCCAACCGCUAUAUGAUAUAUUAAGGAUAUGGGGUUUCAUUGUUUUGCCUAAAAGUCUAUUUUGAUGUUGUAACUUGACAAGCUAAACAAACUAAGAGAACUUGUUAAUAUAUGUAUUUAUAAGUUGAAUUAGUUUGGAAUAGUCUGGUGGAUUGACUCUAAUACUGCAACUAAUUCUUUUUCAAAAAAUGUUGUUAUGCAAAUAGUACCAGUGAUCUUAUCGAACUAAUAGCUACAAUUGUGACAGCUGCAUAUUUAGUCAGUUGUUAUUUUCAAGUGAAUUUUAGUUAUUGAUACCCAUGUUUAUUAUCAAUAGCCAUUUUUCUAUGACUGAAGAGCUUCGAGAGAAGAAACUACUCUUCUAUUAAAGCUUUGGUUACAAAUGAAGCAAGGAGGAUUGCAUCUGUAAGUUAAUGUGGCAAAAUUAAGUAUGGUGGAAGUCUGAUAUUUUCCAUACGGAUAUGUAUGAACAUGAUUCUCUCUUUGUGGGCGAAUUGCUGCAACUAACAAGAGAAGGUGAGCAAUGAUGGAAACACGUGUCUGGUCUAUAUGAACAAAAAGCACAUCUCUCAAUAGAAUUUCAAGAUUUUCAUCCUCAGGUUGUGCUUGAUAUUUCGCUUCAAUGGUUGGUGGCUCAAUUGAGUUGUUAAUAAAAAAACUUGGGUUGCCUGUGUGAAGAGAAAUUCAGGGUGACAUGAGAAAUGACUUAGUUGUCUUUGUGCUUGAUAUUUCGCUUCAUUGUGAUGUUUCUCAUUAGUUGAAUAAUUUAGUUUUGCGAAAACUGGUUCCAUUUGUGGAAACUGGGAUGAUGUGGCUAUCCACGUUUUUGUCUGCACACAUAGAACAUUCUUUUGUUUCUCUACUAUACUAAAUGAUGUGAUACAUAUUUUUAUUUUCAGAUGCUAUUAUUAUCAAGUUGUAUAUGUAUCAUUGAAACAACUA